rnacentral:rRNA from 1 species
CCUACGGGUGGCAGCAGUGAGGAAUAUUGGUCAAUGGGCGCGAGCCUGAACCAGCCAAGUAGCGUGAAGGAUGACUGCCCUACGGGUUGUAAACUUCUUUUAUAAAGGAAUAAAGUGAGGCACGUGUGCCUUUUUGUAUGUACUUUAUGAAUAAGGAUCGGCUAACUUCGGGCCAGCAGCCGCGGUAAUACGGAGGAUCCGGGAGUUAUACGGAUUUAGUGGGUUUAAAGGGAGCGUAGAUGGGUUGUUAAGUUAGUUGUGAAAGUUUGCGGCUCAACCGUAGAAUUGCAAUUGAUACUGGCAGUCUUGAGUACAGUUGAGGUAGGCGGAAUUCGUGGUGUAGCGGUGAAAUGCUUAGAUAUCACGAAGAACUCCGAUUGCGAAGGCAGCUUACUAAACUGCCACUGACAUUGAUGCUCGAAAGUGUGGGUAUCAAACAGGAUUAGAUACCCUGGUAGUC